rnacentral:rRNA from 1 species
CCUACGGGUGGCAGCAGUGAGGGAUAUUGGUCAAUGGGGGAAACCCUGAACCAGCAACGCCGCGUGAGGGAAGACGGUUUUCGGAUUGUAAACCUCUGUCCUCUGUGAAGAUAAUGACGGUAGCAGAGGAGGAAGCUCCGGCUAACUACGUGCCAGCAGCCGCGGUAAUACGUAGGGAGCAAGCGUUGUCCUGCUUUACUGGUGUGAAAGGGUGCGUAGGCGGCUUUGCAAGUCAGAAGUGAAAUCCAUGGGCUUAACCCAUGAACUGCUUUUGAAACUGCAGAGCUUGAGUGGAGUAGAGGUAGGCGGAAUUCCCGGUGUAGCGGUGAAAUGCGUAGAGAUCGGGAGGAACACCAGUGGCGAAGGCGGCCUACUGGGCUCUAACUGACGCUGAGGCACGAAAGCGUGGGUAGCAAACAGGAUUAGAUACCCCUGUAGUC